rnacentral:rRNA from 1 species
AUUGAACGCUGGCGGCAUGCUUUACACAUGCAAGUCGAACGGUAACAGGCCGCAAGGUGCUGACGAGUGGCGAACGGGUGAGUAAUGCAUCGGAACGUGCCCAGUCGUGGGGGAUAACGCAGCGAAAGCUGUGCUAAUACCGCAUACGAUCUAUGGAUGAAAGCGGGGGACCGUAAGGCCUCGCGCGAUUGGAGCGGCCGAUGUCAGAUUAGGUAGUUGGUGGGGUAAAGGCCCACCAAGCCAACGAUCUGUAGCUGGUCUGAGAGGACGACCAGCCACACUGGGACUGAGACACGGCCCAGACUCCUACGGGAGGCAGCAGUGGGGAAUUUUGGACAAUGGGCGAAAGCCUGAUCCAGCAAUGCCGCGUGCAGGAAGAAGGCCUUCGGGUUGUAAACUGCUUUUGUACGGAGCGAAAAGGUCCUUUCUAAUACAGGGGGCUCAUGACGGUACCGUAAGAAUAAGCACCGGCUAACUACGUGCCAGCCGCCGCCGUAA